GGAGGUAUAGCUCAGCGGUAGAGCAAUCGGCUGCAGUCCGAUGGGUCGCUAGUUCAAUUCUGGCUUCCUCCU
rfam:Selaginella moellendorffii unplaced genomic scaffold SELMOscaffold_29, whole genome shotgun sequence.